CAAUCAUCUAGUUGCAAAAGACUAAAAUCCAACUAGACUAGUUAGAAAAAGAAGGGUUUCCUGGAAUUUUCAAAACCCUUGAGAAAGGCAGGUGUAGAGGGAUUUACGUUAGCACCAGGGAUUUCUGUCCAGGUUUUUUCUGCUUUUGUGUAUGUUGACUUCAUUCUCUCUUCCAUAUGACCAGAGUUAAAACAGGGAACUGAGAAAGAAAAGCAUAAACCCUGGAGUGCUGGAUUGGAAGGAACUACAGGCUCUGAAUGUUCCUGGUUCGUCUUCUACACACAGCACUUUCCCGGCAGCGCAUGAGUCACAUGAAACUUCUCUGGAGCAGAAAUUCUAUAGAAAUAACUCUCUCCUGCCCCUUGGGUUACCCCUGGAGACUGUCAGUAUCAAAGAGAAUGUAAGACAAUG
rnacentral:lncRNA from 1 species